CAGCAAAUCCGUAGUCUCCACC
rnacentral:miRNA from 1 species